rnacentral:rRNA from 1 species
UUCCGGUUGAUCCUGCCGGACCCCACUGCUAUCGAGAUGGGACUAAAGUAUGCUAGUCGAACGACCAGAACUAUGUCUGGGAGUGGCACACUGCUCAGUAACACGUAGCUAACCUACCCUUAGGACGUGGAUACCCCCGAGAAAUUGGGGUUAAUCCGCGAUAGGUGUAAUGUCCUGGAAUGGUAUUACGUCUAAAGGUAUUUCAUACAUGUUUGAAAUAUGCCUAAGGAUGGGGCUGCGGCCGAUCAGGCUGUUGGUGAGGUAAUGGCUCACCAAACCUUUGACCGGUACGGGCCAUGAGAGUGGUAGCCCGGAGAUGGACACUGAGACAAGGGUCCAGGCCCUAAGGGGCGCAGCAACCGCGAAACCUCCACAAUGCACUCACGUGCGAUGGGGCUAUCUCGAGUGCCACCUGAUGAAGGUGGCUUUUCCUUGGUCUUCAAAGCCUUGGGAAUAAGAGGGGGGCAAGACUGGUGUCAGCCGCCGCGGUAACACCAGCCCCUCGAGUGGUGGGGAUGAUUAUUUGGCCUAAAGCGUCCGUAGCCGGCCGUGAAAGUCUUCCGUUAAAUCCAGCGUCUCAAGCGUUGGACCGCGGGAGAUACUACAUGGCUAGAGAGUGGGAGAGGUCAGCGGUAUUCUGGGGGUAGGGGCGAAAUCCUUUGAUCCCCGGAGGACCACCAGUGGCGAAGGCUGCUGACUAGAACACGUCUGACGGUCAGGGACGAAAGCUGGGGUAGCGAACCGGAUUAGAUACCCGGGUAGUCCCAGCCGUAAACGAUGCAUGCUAGGUGUUGGGUUGGCCACGAGCCACCCCAGUGCCGCAGGGAAGCCGUUAAGCAUGCCGCCUGGGAAGUACGAUCAAGAUUGAAACU